rnacentral:rRNA from 1 species
UACAGAGGUCCCAAGCGUUGUUCGGAUUUACUGGGCGUAAAGGGCGCGUAGGCGGUCGUGACAAGUCACUUGUGAAAUCUCCGGGCUUAACUCGGAACGGUCAAGUGAUACUGUCGGACUAGAGUACAGAAGGGGCAACUGGAAUUCUCGGUGUAGCGGUGAAAUGCGUAGAUAUCGAGAGGAACACCUGCGGCGAAGGCGGGUUGCUGGGCUGAUACUGACGCUGAGGCGCGAAAGCCAGGGGAGCGAACGGG